GAUGAACGCUGGCGGCGUGCCUAAUACAUGCAAGUCGAGCGAACAGAUGAGGAGCUUGCUCCUCUGACGUUAGCGGCGGACGGGUGAGUAACACGUGGAUAACCUACCUAUAAGACUGGGAUAACUUCGGGAAACCGGAGCUAAUACCGGAUAAUAUAUUGAACCGCAUGGUUCAAUAGUGAAACACGGUUUUGCUGUCACUUAUAGAUGGAUCCGCGCCGCAUUAGCUAGUUGGUAAGGUAACGGCUUACCAAGGCAACGAUGCGUAGCCGACCUGAGAGGGUGAUCGGCCACACUGGAACUGAGACACGGUCCAGACUCCUACGGGAGGCAGCAGUAGGGAAUCUUCCGCAAUGGGCGAAAGCCUGACGGGGCAACGCCGCGUGAGUGAUGAAGGUCUUCGGAUCGUAAAACUCUGUUAUUAGGGAAGAACAAAUGUGUAAGUAACUAUGCACGUCUUGACGGUACCUAAUCAGAAAGCCACGGCUAACUACGUG
rnacentral:rRNA from 1 species